rnacentral:lncRNA from 1 species
UGACUCUCUUCAAGAAUCAUUUUCUUCAUCUCUACAUCGUCAGGAAUGCAAAUCCGACCUCGGAAUCUCAACACACCGUGAUCGUCGACUUUAAAUUCACCGUCUUCAUUCUGAUUACUAGCAACCAACAAGUCUACAAACUUGACAUCAACUUUCUGUGCCUCUUUAAUACUCUUCAGAAAUUCACUAUCAAUCUUCAGCAUUCCCA